rnacentral:lncRNA from 1 species
CUUCUCUGGCGUAAGAGGUUUAUUAUCUUGACUAGGAUUAGAUUAAGGUUUUUAUUUGUUAUAAAGUAUGAAGUUUUUCCAAAAUCAUGCACCAUUUAUAAGAAUAUAAUACUUCUUUUUCCGGCCAUGUUUUGUUUUUAUGGUAAGAUGAACAUAUAUGUCCAAGCCUUAAAGUGAAGAACACAGGGAAGAUCUGGACUAUUCUUUGGUUCGAUCUGCGUUUGUUUCUCACUGAGAUUAUGAUCAGGGCCGGAUAUGGGUGUCUUGACUCCCAAUUUUUUUAAAGAUU